UAUACAUUAAAUUAUCUAUAACAAUGGCUGCACUAGUAGUACCCAUUAUCCUAGGAUGUCUUUUUAUUUUGAUUACAUAUUGUCCUUUAGAAAGACAGAGAGACGACAAAUUCCAUAACUGUGCGGAUCUCUUUAGGGACCUCCUAUAUAUAAUUUGUCUCAUCUGCGGUCCGUCUAUCUCGCGCGUGAUAUAGCGACAAAUUAUUUAUUACAAUGGCGACUUUUCAGUUGAGUUUAGGGCGUAUAAAGUUACCUAUAAUAUGUUGUAUAAAGAAGUAGAGUAUUUGCAUCU